GCUUGCUUUGGCAGUGCAUAUACUAAAAUUAGAACGAUACAGAGAGUAUUAGCAUGGGCCCUUUGCAAGGAUGACACACAAAUUCAUAAAGUGUUCCUUAUUUUU